UAUAAAGUGGAGAACGGCUGAGUAACACGUGGGCAACCUGCCCUUUGCACUGGGAUAGCCUCGGGAAACCGAGGUUAAUACCGGAUACUCCAUAUUUGUCGCAUGGCGAAUAUGGGAAAGCUCCGGCGGCAAAGGAUGGGCCCGCGGCCUGUUAGCUAGUUGGUGGGGUAGUGGCCUACCAAGGCAAUGAUGGGUAGCCGGGUUGAGAGACCGACCGGCCAGAUUGGGACUGAGACACGGCCCAGACUCCUACGGGAGGCAGCAGUA
rnacentral:rRNA from 1 species